rnacentral:lncRNA from 1 species
AAGUUUGUAACAAGUUUGUAUGAAAUUUGUAAAAGAGAUUGUAUGUGAGGACUGAAAAUUUUGCCGUAUAGCUAAACUUUCUGUCGACGAUAUUUUUAUGUGUAUUUUAAAUCACUAAUCAAGUGUUCGUAAAAAAUGAGUUAAAUUGAAGCUGUUACACAGUUUUCUUUGCUCACUUAAAGUGAAUAGUAACCUGUGUUUCCGAGAGAGACCAUUAAUUGAGUGUAGAUAGCUUCUGUCACAUAUCGGACUCCGUUUCAGGUGAUCCAAUAACUCAUUUUUUAUGGUCUGACUAUGUCAGAGCCAACGACGUUGACGAAUUUAUGGUUUAAUGCACGGUUUUUCAGAAAAUCUACUUUUAUCGCACAUUGGCUUUUUUGAGAAAAUCUACUCGAGGUUUUUGAGAAAAUCUAUUCGAGGUUUUGCUUUUUAAAAUU